rnacentral:rRNA from 1 species
AUUGAACGCUAGCGGGAUGCUUUACACAUGCAAGUCGAACGAGUGGCGGACGGGUGAGUAAUAUAUCGGAACGUGCCCAGUAGCGGGGGAUAACUAAGCGAAAGAGUGGCUAAUACCGCCUACUAUUGGAGCGGCCGAGAUGGGAUUAGCUAGAUGGGGGGGUAACGGCUCACCAAGGCAACGAUCCGUAGCUGGUUGGAGAGGACGAGCAGCCACACUGGGACUGAGAAACGGCCCAGACUCCUACGGUAGGCAGCAGUGGGGAAUUUUGGACAAUGGGGGAAACCCUGAUCCAGCCAUCCCGCGUGUAUGAGAAGGCCUUCGGGUUGUAAAGUACUUUUGGCAGAGAAGCGGUAUCUGCAGAAUAAGCACCGGCUAACUACGUGCCAGCAGCCGCGGUAAUUC